rnacentral:rRNA from 1 species
GACAUUAGGUAGUUGGCGGGGUAACGGCCCACCAAGCCGACGAUGUCUAGGGGUUCUGAGAGGAAGGUCCCCCACACUGGAACUGAGACACGGUCCAGACUCCUACGGGAGGCAGCAGUGAGGAAUAUUGGUCAAUGGGCGCGAGCCUGAACCAGCCAAGUCGCGUGAGGGAAGAAUGGUCCAUGGCCUGUAAGCCUCUUUUGUCAAGGAAGAAUAAAUUGCACGUGUGCGAUCUUGCCAGUACUUGACGAAUAAGCAUCGGCUAACUCCGUGCCAGCAGCCGCGGUAAUACGGGGGAUGCGAGCGUUAUCCGGAUUUAUUGGGUUUAAAGGGCGCGUAGGCGGGACGCCAAGUCAGCGGUAAAAGACUGCAGCUAAACUGUAGCACGCCGUUGAAACUGGCGCCCUCGAGACGAGACGAGGGAGGCGGAACAAGUGAAGUAGCGGUGAAAUGCUUAGAUAUCACUUGGAACCCCGAUAGCGAAGGCAGCUUCCCAGGCUCGAUCUGACGCUGAUGCGCGAGAGCGUGGGUAGCGAACAGGAUUAGAUACCCUGGUAGUCCACGCCGUAAACGAUGCUCACUGGAUCUUGGCGAUA